rnacentral:rRNA from 1 species
AACGAACGCUGGCGGCAGGCCUAACACAUGCAAGUCGAGCGCACCCUUCGGGGUGAGCGGCGGACGGGUGAGUAACGCGUGGGAACGUGCCCUUCUCUGCGGAAUAGCCUCGGGAAACUGAGAGUAAUACCGCAUACGCCCUUUGGGGGAAAGAUUUAUCGGAGAAGGAUCGGCCCGCGUUGGAUUAGGUAGUUGGUGGGGUAAUGGCCCACCAAGCCGACGAUCCAUAGCUGGUUUGAGAGGAUGAUCAGCCACACUGGGACUGAGACACGGCCCAGACUCCUACGGGAGGCAGCAGUGGGGAAUCUUAGACAAUGGGGGCAACCCUGAUCUAGCCAGGCCGCGUGAGUGAUGAAGGCCUUAGGGUUGUAAAGCUCUUUCAGCUGGGAAGAUAAUGACGGUACCAGCAGAAGAAGCCCCGGCUAACUCCGU